CUCCCCCGUUGCUGACCCCAGGUUCGAUAGCGCCAAUUAGGCGCCACCUCGCCAAGAACCAGCUUCGGUGAAGCGACGGGCGGUGUGUGCAAGGA
rnacentral:rRNA from 1 species